rnacentral:rRNA from 1 species
UCGAUUGUCCCAGCCGCCGCGGUAAUACGUAGGGUGCAAGCGUUAUCCGGAAUUAUUGGGCGUAAAGGGCUCGUAGGCGGUUCGUCGCGUCCGGUGUGAAAGUCCAUCGCUUAACGGUGGAUUCGCGCCGGGUACGGGCGGGCUUGAGUGCGGUAGGGGAGACUGGAAUUCCCGGUGUAACGGUGGAAUGUGUAGAUAUCGGGAAGAACACCAAUGGCGAAGGCAGGUCUCUGGGCCGUUACUGACGCUGAGGAGCGAAAGCGUGGGGAGCGAACAGGAUUAGAUACCCUGGUAGUCCACGCCGUAAACGGUGGAUGCUGGAUGUGGGGCCCGUUCCACGGGUUCCGUGUCGGAGCUAACGCGUUAAGCAUCCCGCCUGGGGAGUACGGCCGCAAGGCUAAAACUCAAAGAAAUUGACGGGGGCCCGCACAAGCGGCGGAGCAUGCGGAUUAAUUCGAUGCAACGCGAAGAACCUUACCUGGGCUUGACAUGUUCCCGACGAUCCCAGAGAUGGGGUUUCCCUUCGGGGCGGGUUCACAGGUGGUGCAUGGUCGUCGUCAGCUCGUGUCGUGAGAUGUUGGGUUAAGUCCCGCAACGAGCGCAACCCUCGCCCCGUGUUGCCAGCGGAUUGUGCCGGGAACUCACGGGGGACCGCCGGGGUUAACUCGGAGGAAGGUGGGGAUGACGUCAGAUCAUCAUGCCCCUUACGUCCAGGGCUUCACGCAUGCUACAAUGGCCGGUACAACGGGAUGCGACGCGGCGACGCGGAGCGGAUCCCUGAAAACCGGUCUCAGUUCGGAUCGCAGUCUGCAACUCGACUGCGUGAAGGCGGAGUCGCUAGUAAUCGCGAAUCAGCAACGUCGCGGUGAAUGCGUUCCCGGGCCUUGUACACACCGCCCGUCAAGUCAUGAAAGUGGGCAGCACCCGAAGCCGGUGGCCUAACCCCUUGUGGGAUGGAGCCGUCUAAGGUGAGGCUCGUGAUUGGGACUAAGUCGUAACAAGGUAACCA